rnacentral:rRNA from 1 species
GCACGGAGUUAGCCGGUGCUUAUUCAUAUGGUACCGUCAUUAUCUUCCCAUAUAAAAGGAGUUUACACACCGAAAUGCGUCAUCCUCCACGCGGCGUUGCUGCAUCAGAGUUUCCUCCAUUGUGCAAUAUUCC